rnacentral:lncRNA from 1 species
CUGGAGGCGGAGCCGGACUCCAAGCCCCGCCCAGAGGUCACCUGGGCUGCUGCUGCUCAAACAGUCUCUGGGGAGCAACUCCUGGUGUCUGUCUGGGCCUCGGUGCCGAGUUCCCGUGUCCUCAUCUCCUCCUCCCAGCAUCCUCCUGGCUCUACCUUCGGUGGCCUCUGCUCUGCCCCAGGAGGACAGCCUGGGGGAAGAGGGAAUGGCUCCUGCCCUGACAGCCAGGCCCGGGAAGGAUUUGGAGUUUCCAAACCUGAUGUGAUCUACCAGUUGGAAAGAAACGAAGCAACUUGGAUGCAAGAACCAGAUAUUCUAAGAAGCAGCUGUCCAGGUGACUACAUAAAAACCAAGGAGAUGGAUCAUUGCAAAUACUGCUCUGUUGGCCAUUUUAGAUCAAAGCUCUUGUAAAAAUAUUGAACAAGGUGGUUGUAUUAAAGCUUCUUAGGC